ACUCCUGCGGGAGGCAGCAGUGGGGAAUAUUGGACAAUGGGCGCAAGCCUGAUCCAGCCAUGCCGCGUGAGUGAUGAAGGCCCUAGGGUUGUAAAGCUCUUUCACCGGUGAAGAUAAUGACGGUAACCGGAGAAGAAGCCCCGGCUAACUUCGUGCCAGCAGCCGCGGUAAUACGAAGGGGGCUAGCGUUGUUCGGAUUUACUGGGCGUAAAGCGCACGUAGGCGGACUAUUAAGUCAGGGGUGAAAUCCCGGGGCUCAACCCCGGAACUGCCUUUGAUACUGGUAGUCUUGAGUUCGAGAGAGGUGAGUGGAAUUCCGAGUGUAGAGGUGAAAUUCGUAGAUAUUCGGAGGAACACCAGUGGCGAAGGCGGCUCACUGGCUCGAUACUGACGCUGAGGUGCGAAAGCGUGGGGAGCAAACAGGAUUAGAAACCCGUGUAGUCCCAU
rnacentral:rRNA from 1 species